rnacentral:rRNA from 1 species
UACGUAGGGUGCGAGCGUUAAUCGGAAUUACUGGGCGUAAAGCGUGCGCAGGCGGUUUUGUAAGCCAGAUGUGAAAUCCCCGGGCUUAACCUGGGAAUGGCAUUUGGGACUGCAAGGCUGGAGUGCGGCAGAGGAGACUGGAAUUCCUGGUGUAGCAGUGAAAUGCGUAGAUAUCAGGAGGAACACCGAUGCGAAGGCAGGUCUCUGGGCUGACACUGACGCUCAUGCACGAAAGCGUGGGGA